rnacentral:lncRNA from 1 species
UGGUACUGCGCCAUAGAUUGCAUUGAAGCAUUUUAACUGCCGUGUAUGAUCGAAGUAAUAAGAUAUUAUUUUGUACUACAAUCAUAAAUCUCUCUCUCUCUCGAUGGGAGGCUCUUGGCGUUCAAACAAAAUAACAGUAGUUCGAAACUGUGAAUGGAUAAGUUCUGCAAUCUGCAAAGGCUAAGAAGAAACAAUGACAGGGGAAAGACUUGUCGUUGUAAAGAGCUGUAGCCAGGUGUAUGUUUGAUUACGUAAGUGAUGUACCGCACUUAGGAAAUUAAGCGUCCGACAACACUUCAGAUUGACAAAACGUGCUGUUCUAUAGUCUCAGGCUCGUGCUGUGCAGCAGUCUGCUAAUCUGUACAAAUAAAAUGGCUCGUAUUUUGGGAGCAUUGUACAAUCAGUCGGGAAACCUCAGAUCCAGUGGAUAUUUGGCUUUGAUGAAGUUUAACCUUCCGAAGAUGUAAUGGAGGUCUUGGAUUAUUAAAUCCAGGUGCAGUAUUCACACAGACAUAUAGGUGAUGGAAAGCGAUGGAGCAAACAUUAACAGAUGGAGAAUAUUACUUCCUGGUACUGCUGAUUACACUUCCUGUCAAUUUGUUUUUCUGUCUGUGGGCUUGGCUUGGAUGGGAGCUUUUUAAAAAUAAUUAGGGCUACAUUGAAAUAAAACUAUCAUGCCAUUCAAA